GCUCGAGCUCGGCAACGCGCCCGCGCUCGCGGAGCUCGACCUCGCCUGCCGCCUCCCGCCGGAGCUCGGCGCCUUCCCCACCCUCGAGACCAGCGGAGGCACCCUCCCCACGUCGUCCCUCUCCAUCGCCUGCACCGGCGGCCAGAUCACGGCGGUCUCCAUCCGCCGAUGCGCUGUUCACCACGCUCACCCGCCUCAUUGCCCUCUUCCUCGCCCCGCUCAGUGUUUGGGGCUAGCUCCCGGGUGCCAAGCUUCUCCUCCUCGCGGUGCUGCAGGCGCUCAACCUCAGCGCCAGCUACCUCUACGGCGUCGUCCCCGCGCAGCUCGCUGAAGAGCCUCGUGCUGUCCAAGAACUGGCUGAACGACACUGUCAUCCGGAGAAAACUGCUCGACCCACAGACUGAGAAGGCUCUUUUAAAGCAGUUAAAUGUCUUGUUUUUGUGCAUAUGGGGGAGGAGAUAGAGGUGGGGUUGGAGAUGGAGCAGUGCUGUCUCGCCAUCGGCAGGAGCAGUUCCGCUUCGCGCUGGACCCGAGCAACGGUGAUGGGAGUGGCGCCGGCGACGGCCGCAGACCUCACCAUACCCUGCAGUGACUAGCAUAAGGAACCAUAAUGGAGUUGUGCAGACCAGCCAACCAUACACAACUUUAAUUAGAAGAGAUGAACUGCGGCAAGGGAUAACAUUAGUAGGUCGUCUUGGUUUGAGAUUAAUAGUGACGACGGAGAUGUUCUUUGAAGUAAUUGCUUCUGCAUACCAGAUUGGUUCUAUGUCAUAUGGGCAUUUCAGGUUUAGCUUUCAAGCACAGGCAUAUUCUCUUGCUCUGGGCUCAUCAUUGGGGACAUGAUCAUUGGAAUUUUUCUAUCAAUCCGAAUUGCAUUGUGUCUGUGAGUGCUAUAUCAUCAUUAUAGUACAGGUACCUCCUACCAUUUUAUCAAGCUUCAGGGCGUUUGCAACGGAAAAAUAGCUAGCAGGUGUUCAUCUGUAAAAAUGACGCCUUCAAAGGGUGUCAAGCUGAGUAGGCCUUACCGGUACUUGGUAGUAGGUAUGGUACCGGUUAAUUUAUAGGUUUAGAUUGGGCUGGUACUUGGUACUUUGGUAGUAGGUACGGUGCCGGUUAAUUUAUAAGUUUUGAUUAAUAUGUAGUAAGGCCUACUCCUUUUCUUAUAUUAGGAGCAUAAUUUUAUUAUUUUAUUUUCUGCUUUUUCUUGAUGAUUAUAAAUAUUUUUUAAUCAUCUAUAUUUUCCUGGCAUUCUGGCUGGUGUUAGCCAUAAGCCACGCCAUGCGGUGCCUGUCGACGACCAGCGCGUUUGUGCGUGUUGGUUGUACGUGGCCGAGGCGGGUCUGCCCAUAGUGUGUCCAUCGUAUGGCGAUCUGUUGAAGGCUAGCGUUGUGCGCGUUGGAGCGCGUCGUGCGCGCGGCCGGAGUGUGCGGAUCAAGCAGUUGAGCGAGCAUGCAUGUAGGUCGUGUGGCUCGUGCUGUUAGUGGCCAGUGUAGUGGACGAGCGUGGCGUGCGUGUGUGCGCUGUGUAUAAAUACCCCUUGUGUAGCUGCUGUGACGAGCCAGCUGAAAUAAACAAAGUAGGGUGUCUGUGCGCCCGUGGCGGCGUUCGUCGCCGGCCGGAAACCUUGUGUCUUCUUCCACCUUCGUCUGUGCGAGAGAGAGAGGGCACCGGCGUUUGUCGCCGGAGGGCUGGUUCGGCGUGUGUCGCCGAGGCCAGCCCCAACAGCUGGCGCGUGACAGGCCGCACCCACAGUCUAUUAUCCGUUUUUGAAAAAUUUGAUUUUCAUGCUAUCCUCUCUUUCUUUGAAUACAUUGCAUUUGCUUCAUCUGCUCACAGCUUCCAUUUAUAUUUUAUUUUUCUUCUUCUAAUCAAUGCACAUAGAUAUUACUUUGUUCGGCUUUUCUGCUACAAAAGAACUAAUGGUUGACUACACUGUACAUGCUUAAGUCAGCUUCAUCUAUACUUGUCAGUGGCCUUUUCUGUCAGUGGUGAGGCAAUAGGUUAAAGCUGCAUAGUAAUGUCUGCACCCAGAUCUUUACAAGACAGCGAGUUCAUAGUAAAAGGUCUCCCCCAGGUUAGUUCUACGGUAUCUAAACAGAUCAUUUCAGUCUUCUAUGGCCUAUCUGGUCACUGGCAUGGUUGCUUGAUUUCUAUUACGGUAAGGUGCUUUUCGUGGAGAAGUAAUGCCACCUCUGUGAACUAUAAGGUAAUAUGACCAUUCUUGUGGACAGCCUAUGUACAUAAGGUAUAAUCUAAUAUCUUAUGGUAAACUGAUUUUUUUGGUCCUUGUUCUUAUCUCUAGAUAGAAGGUACUUCUCCGUAUGGCCCUAUCUUCAUCGAUGAUUCCUGUUACGAGUUUAACAUGGCCAAGUGCAGUUUUUGAUGUGGUCGUGGUUCUAAGGUGGAAAUAUUUAGUACGUGUUAGUUUUGCUUUGUGUCUUCAGGUUUCAGAUUCAGCGUAUAUUUUAUUCUCUUCAUUCUAUUUUUUUUUCAUUUCCUUUGAACUACACGCUGUAUUCUAAGAAAAUUAUAAGAAAAGCAGGGAUCUAAAUCUGGAAAUCCAUAUAUGCAUGUUGGUUAAUUUAUUGCCAUUCUUUGACAUUCCUUUAAUUAGAUACCAUGGAUAUGAAGUGGUUCUCCUCCAUUCUUUGACAUUCCUUUAAUUAGAUACCAUGGAUAUGAAGUGGUUCUCCUCAGGACCUCAUGUCGUCUGGGACUCUAUCCAUUCUUGAGGCUGCAGUAUGCACUAUUUGAAUGAUUACAGAUGAUAUCAAUAUAUUCAUAAUGCUUAAUAGUGGCUUAUAGUUCUCCAUUUCUAGAACACAACUAAUUGUUUAAUGGUUCUAUGUGGUACAUCUGUGUGUUAAACAUCAUGCCACAGGGAUGCCAUGACCUAGCUCUACCUCCCUUGUCCUCAUCCACGAUUUCAGUGGCGAGGGCGCUAAUUAAGGAGGUGGCGGUUACAGCCUUCCAUCCUAGAAGCGGGUCACUAGGAGAAUGUUAGCAUUGUACACAGACCUUACUUACAACCAAAAAUGAUAUUUGUUUUAUUAUUAUUUUGGUGAAUUCUAGGUUUUUAUAUAUGGAUCGUGAUGCUUUCUUCUUUGGAUAAUAUUCAGAGGGUGUGAAUCCACGGUGGGGUUUGUGAGAAAGAAGGAUAUGCUUGGGCGAAAGAGAACAAUUUUUGGGUAGACAAUGGAUCCACGGUCAUUGCCUCUGCAUCGACCCUGCCAACCACAAUGUCAUGGAAGCAAUUAAAGAUGCCUUUUCCAAUGGUAAUUCAUGCUUUCAGUCCAGAAGUUAGUAUCCCCUACUAUUUGUGUGACUGGAGAAAACAUUAUGGGUUAACUAAAUUUCAUUUAGAUUGUAAGUAUUGGAAAGAGACCAGAGUUCGAUAUGGCAGAUCUCUUGGGAUAGUGCAACCAAGAUAUUUGCUACAAUGGCAACAUGGCAUUUUUUGCAAGUAAUUACAACAUUAUAAUUCCAUACUA